rnacentral:rRNA from 1 species
CAGCCGCCGCGGUAAUACGAAGGGGGCUAGCGUUGUUCGGAAUUACUGGGCGUAAAGCGCACGUAAGCGGAUAUUUAAGUCAGGGGUGAAAUCCCAGAGCUCAACUCUGGAACUGCCUUUGAUACUGGGUAUCUUGAGUAUGGAAGAGGUGAGUGGAAUUCCGAGUGUAGAGGUGAAAUUCGUAGAUAUUCGGAGGAACACCAGUGGCGAAGGCGGCUCACUGGUCCAUUACUGACGCUGAGGUGCGAAAGCGUGGGGAGCAAACAGGAUUAGAUACCCGCGUAGUCCCUGUCUCUUAUAC